rnacentral:rRNA from 1 species
GGGGAAUAUUGCGCAAUGGGCGAAAGCCUGACGCAGCGACGCCGCGUGAGGGACGAAGGUCUUCGGAUUGUAAACCUCUUUCAGCAGGGAUGAAGCGAAAGUGACAGUACCUGCAGAAGAAGCACCGGCUAACUACGUGCCAGCAGCCGCGGUAAUACGUAGGGUGCAAGCGUUGUCCGGAUUUAUUGGGCGUAAAGAGCUCGUAGGCGGUCUGUCGCGUCGGAUGUGAAAACCCAAUGGCUUAACCUUGGGCCUGCAUUCGAUACGGGCAGACUAGAGUGUGGUAGGGGAAACUGGAACUCCUGGUGUAGCGGUGGAAUGCGCAGAUAUCAGGAAGAACACCGAUGGCGAAGGCAGGUUUCUGGGCCAUAACUGACGCUGAGGAGCGAAAGCGUGGGGAGCAAAC